AGAACGAACGCUGGCGGCAUGCCUAAUACAUGCAAGUCGAACGAACACUUCGGUGUUAGUGGCGCACGGGUGCGUAACGCGUGGGAAUCUGCCCUUGGGUUCGGAAUAACAGUUGGAAACGACUGCUAAUACCGGAUGAUAUCGAAAGAUCAAAGAUUUAUCGCCCAGGGAUGAGCCCGCGUAGGAUUAGCUAGUUGGUGAGGUAAAGGCUCACCAAGGCGACGAUCCUUAGCUGGUCUGAGAGGAUGAUCAGCCACACUGGGACUGAGACACGGCCCAGACUCCGUACGGGAGGCAGCAGUAGGGAAUAUGGACAAUGGGCNCAAG
rnacentral:rRNA from 1 species